UGGGAUAUUCCUGUACCGCCAAUAAGCGUUUGAGAGAUGGAGUGACACAGUAGGAUAAGCUAACCGUACUGUUGGUUAUGUACGGCUAAGCAUUGAGGCAGUCUAAAUAGGCAAAUCCGUUUAGGCAAUGCUAGGAUGUGAUGGGGAAGCCCUUCGGGGCGAAGUAGCUGAUUUCACACUGUCAAGAAAAGCUUCUAUCGAGUUUAAAGGCGCCCGUACCGUAAACCGACACAGGUGGGUGAGGAGAGUAUCCUAAGGCCAGCGAGAGAACUAUUGUUAAGGAACUCGGCAAAAUGACCCCGUAACUUAGGGAGAAGGGGUGCCUGUCUAUGACAGGCCGCAGAGAAUAGGCCCAAGCGACUGUUUACCAAAAACACAGGUUUCUGCUAAGUCGCAAGACGAUGUAUAGGAGCUGACGCCUGCCCGGUGCUGGAAGGUUAAGGGGAUCUGUUAGAGCAAUCGAAGCAGUGAACUUAAGCCCCAGUAAACGGCGGCCGUAACUAUAACGGUCCUAAGGUAGCGAAAUUCCUUGUCGGGUAAGUUCCGACCCGCACGAAAGGCGUAACGAUUUGGGCACUGUCUCAACAAUAGACUCGGUGAAAUUGUAAUCCCGGUGAAGAUGCCGGGUACCUGCGACAGGACGGAAAGACCCCAUGGAGCUUUACUGUAGCUUGACGUUGGGUCUUGGUACUACAUGUACAGGAUAGGUGGGAGACUAUGAAGCAUGGACGCCAGUCUGUGUGGAGUCAUCCUUGGGAUACCACCCUUGUAGUACUGGGAUCCUAACCAUAGGCCUUGAAUCAGGUCUUGGAACACCGUCAGGUGGGCAGUUUGACUGGGCGGUCGCCUCCUAAAAAGUAACGGAGGCGCUCAAAGGUUUCCUCAGCACGGUCGGAAAUCGUGCGAAGAGUGUAAAGGCAAAAGGAAGCUUGAUUGCAAGACAUACAGGUCGAGCAAGGACGAAAGUCGGACUUAGUGAUCCGGUGGUACCGCAUGGAAGGGCCAUCGCUCAACGGAUAAAAGCUACCCUGGGGAUAACAGGCUUAUCUCCCCCAAGAGUCCACAUCGACGGGGAGGUUUGGCACCUCGAUGUCGGCUCAUCACAUCCUGGGGCUGUAGUAGGUCCCAAGGGUUGGGCUGUUCGCCCAUUAAAGUGGUACGCGAGCUGGGUUCAGAACGUCGUGAGACAGUUCGGUCCCUAUCCGUCGCAGGCGUAGGAAAUUUGAGAAGACCUGUCCUUAGUACGAGAGGACCGGGAUGGACGUACCUCUGGUGUACCAGUUGUUCUGCCAAGGGCAUGGCUGGGUAGCUAUGUACGGAAUGAAUAAGCGCUGAAAGCAUCUAAGCGCGAAGCCAACUUCAAGAUAAGAUUUCCCACCGUAAGGGUAAGACCCCAGGAAGAC
rnacentral:rRNA from 1 species